rnacentral:rRNA from 1 species
UACGAAGGGUGCAAGCGUUACUCGGAAUUACUGGGCGUAAAGGGUGCGUAGGUGGUUUGUUAAGUCUGCUGUGAAAUCCCCGGGCUCAACCUGGGAAUGGCAGUGGAUACUGGCAAGCUAGAGUGCGGUAGAGGGUAGUGGAAUUCCCGGUGUAGCAGUGAAAUGCGUAGAGAUCGGGAGGAACACCAGUGGCGAAGGCGGCUACCUGGACCAGCACUGACACUGAGGCACGAAAGCGUGGGGAGCAAACAGG